UCACGCUCUCGGCCAGGGUCACUUGCGAGACCGCCUGCGAAGCGGCCGCGAUCACGCCGUGGUCGGCCACCGGUUCGACGCCGCAGGCCGCGGG
rnacentral:tRNA from 1 species